GGACGUUUGCCUUUCUAUGCAGGAUUUAAUAACACCAGCCAGCUCUCUGGGAAUAUCUCACAACAAGGACUCUCAGGCAAAAGUUUGGACCUCUCAAGUUUUGUAGAUGAACUGAACCACAUAGAGAUGGAUGAACCCCAGACAGACUGGAUGAUGACAAUGUAGAAGCCCAGACUUUCACUUAGCCAGUCCAACCUUAAUUGGUUUUUAACCAUUCAGAGGUAGAUUUGCUAGUAUUCUUUGGAUCACAAACCUGGUACAAAGUGAUGACUUAGAAUUCUCUUUCAGGAUUUCUUGCUGGAGAAGAGAAAACGGUUUCAUCAUCACUUACAACAAUGUUGAGGUCCUGAGGUACUAAAGAACCUGCAGACUAUCUGCAACCACCAUGUUUGGCUGUCGGAAUGAUGUUCUUCUUCUGAAAUGCUGUGUUAAUUUUAAACACUGUGUAUAGUUAACACAUCCUUCAUUCCUUCCUCAAACAAGAAGAUUUUCAUUUGGCUUUGUGGAACUUAUGGAUUCUUGAGUUGAAUUGCAUCCCUGUUUGCCUCAUAUUUUGCUUGUUUUAGAUGUAGACAUCCAAAACAACUUGUAGUUUCUACAAACAUGAGUUAUAGUGUACUGAGCCCCUAAAGGGACAUUGAAGGGAAAUAAAGAAUAAAAAAAAACUUUCAUGCCCACCAGAUACAUGAGAAUGUAUCUGGUGGGCACCAGAAUUAUUAUUUUUUUUAACUUUAGGGGCAAUAAUGUCCCUAAAGGGACAAUGAAGCUUUGUAAUAGUGAUACAGCAUGAGGGCGGGUUUAAAUUAAUGUGGGACACCUACCUUCCAAAACAUUCUACUUUUGUUUCAUCAGUCUACUUAACACAUUUCCAAAAAUGAAAAAUGUUAGUUUUCAUCAAGAUGUUUUUUUUUUUGUGUGGCAAAUAUCAGAUAAGCCUUUGUGUUUGUUUGGCCAGCUGUGGUUUCUGCCCGUGAACUCUCCAAUGGAUGGCACAUUUGCUUAGUCUGUUUUUUAUUGUUGAAUAAUGAAUACUGUGCUUAACUGUGGCAAAUGAGGUCUGCAGUGCUGUAGAUGUUGCUUUGGGUUCAAAUUUGACCUCCUGGAAAACACACUCUAGCAGUAACUUUGGCUAGAUGGCCACACCUGGGAAGGUUCACCAAAGUUCCAUGUUUUCUUCUUUGUGAAUAACGACUCUUCCUGUGGUUUGCUGAAGUCCAAAAGACAAAGAAAUGAUUGUAACCAAUUCCAGGAUAAUAGACAUCAACGUAGGUUUCUCUUCAUUUGAACAUCUUCAGAUCUCAAUAAUGUAUUGCUUUUUAAGGAUCUUUUAUUCUGCUUCAUGUUGUCAAAAAGGUGAUUUUAUAAGUGAUGUUUUCAACUGACAGGUCUGGCAGUAAUCAGCACUGAAACUAGACUUCAAAUUUCGAACGGUGUGAUUAAUCACAGUUAACCAAUGGUGUAUUGACAAGGAAACUUACUUUUUCACAUGCAGACAGGUGGGUUUGGAUAUUUUUCCUUUAAUAAAAAAAAAUAUUCAGAAACUGCUUCUUGAAUUUAUUUAGGUUUCCUUUGUCUGAUAUUAAAAUUAGUUUGAUCUGAAAAAAGAAAGUGUGACAAAAAAAAGCAAGUGCUUUUUUCACAGCACUGUAAAGAAGUCGAAUCACUUCAGUUUGCAUGGUGGUGGCAGUCAGUGAGUCAGUCAGGGAAUUAGACAGGAUUCAAUGUCAGACCACUUAACAUGCUUUAUUUCAGCAUUCAAAAUAAUUAAAAACAUCUCAAUUUAUUAUACAUAUACAAAAUAGGUACAGAUCUGAUUUUUUUUCCCCAUGGGUGUGUCUUUCUAACUCACAAACUUUUUUUAUGCCUCCCUUUCCGGGGACUGUUUCAAAUCUCUGAUUCCAAUUUGCUGGUGAGGAAAAGUCACCUGUUCCGCAAGAGAACAAGAAACAAAGUACAACAGAUGCAUGACUGAAAAAAUGAUUGAGAAGUCGUAGUAGAAAGCUGGAAAGCAAAAACUAAAAAAGUUUUACUGCCACCAUGAUCAGACAGAAGAAGUCUGUCUCAUUCUGGGCACCAAGAAUUAAAGCUGUAGUUUCAGUUUUAGCACCAAGAGGGAGCUGUCGUGCCAGAAUGACUAUAUCACUAGAGCCAUACUAGACAGCCAACAGACCUCAAAGAAAAAAAUAGCACCUUAAGUUUAGGUUCUGCUUCUGUUAAAAGUGUCAGUAACCCUCGACUACCCCACCGACCGCCACAAUGAAAACAGGUUUCCUUUCAAAUACUCGGGGCCCUUUUAAAAAUGCUGGAAUGUCUUUCAUUUCUGAGGUAGCCAUAACAUUUUUUUUCUUUCAUAAAGGAGGUUUAAACCCAUGUUUCUCUGUAGGUGGUUUUAAUGCAAUGUUUCUUUAGAAAAGAAAAAAAAAACAAGGAGAAAGACAGAAACAAGAUAUCAACCACAAAACAAAUGCAUCACAACAACAGUGGGGGGUUGGUGGGGGCAAUGUUGGCCUUGCCAAGAGCAGGUGGAGCAGAGGAGGGCAGAACAACAAAGACAACGAUGGCUGUCAGUUUCACCGUUUAUUCAUCAACACCUGAAACGUGGUACAAAGCAAUUGGAUUCUGUCUGUUGUGACUGUCCUUUCAUUCCUCAGAGCGCAGAGGUGUAUCAAAUACAAAAAGUCACUUGUGUUUUUCUGUAAACUCCAGAGAGGCCUGGUUUGGCUGAAAUGAGAGGGGAUGGUGUUUUUUUUCUUUACACUUUACAGAGGCAUAUAUUAUUUUCUUGUUGCCAGCGAAACAAAACGUCUUGUCUACAGGAUCCUUGGUGUUGGUGAUGGCAAAAAAAA